rnacentral:rRNA from 1 species
GCACAAGCGGUGGAGCAUGUGGUUUAAUUCGACGCAACGCGCAGAACCUUACCAGGGUUUGACAUCCUGAGACCGCCGGUGAAAGCCGGUUUUCCCGCAAGGGACUCAGAGACAGGUGCUGCAUGGCUGUCGUCAGCUCGUGUCGUGAGAUGUUGGGUUAAGUCCCGCAACGAGCGCAACCCUCGCCUUUAGUUGCCAUCAUUAAGUUGGGCACUCUAGAGGGACCGCCGGCGACAAGCCGGAGGAAGGUGGGGAUGACGUCAAGUCCUCAUGGCCCUUACACCCUGGGCUACACACGUGCUACAAUGGCGGUGACAGUGAGCAGCUAGUUCGCGAGAACGUGCUAAUCUCAAAAAACCGUCCCAGUUCAGAUUGCACUCUGCAACUCGAGUGCAUGAAGGUGGAAUCGCUAGUAAUCGCAGAACAGCAGGCUGCGGUGAAUACGUUCCCGGGC